CCCUUAGAUGUUCUGGGCUGCACGCGCGCUACACUGAUGCGCUCAAUGAGUUUAUGACCUUGCCCGGAAGGGUUGGGUAAUCUUCUUAAAACGCAUCGUGAUGGGGAUAGAUUAUUGCAAUUAUUAAUCUUCAACGAGGAAUUCCUAGUAAGCGCGAGUCAUCAGCUCGUGCUGAUUACGUCCCUGCCCUUUGUACACACCGCCCGUCGCUCCUACCGAUUGAGUGGUCCGGUGAGGCUUUGGGAUCUGAGCGGAAAGAGCGUUUCGCUGUUUCUGCUCGGAAAACUCAGUCGAACCUUAUCAUUUAGAGGAAGGAGAAGUCGUAACA
rnacentral:rRNA from 1 species